UACGGGGGGGGCAAGCGUUGUUCGGAAUUACUGGGCGUAAAGGGUUCGUAGGUGGCCAACUAAGUCAUACGUGAAAUCCCUCGGCUUAACCGGGGAACUGCGUCUGAUACUGGAUGGCUUGAGAUUGGGAGAGGGAUGCGGAAUUCCAGGUGUAGCGGUGAAAUGCGUAGAUAUCUGGAGGAACACCGGUGGCGAAGGCGGCAUCCUGGACCAACACUGACGCUGAGGAGCGAAAGCCAGGGGAGCAAACGGG
rnacentral:rRNA from 1 species